CCUACGGGGGGCAGCAGUGAGGAAUAUUGGUCAAUGGCCGGAAGGCUGAACCAGCCAUGCCGCGUGAAGGUCAGUGCCCUAUGGGCGUUAAACUUCUUUUGUGCGGGAGCAAUAAUGGUCACGUGUGGCCAGACGAGAGUACCGUACGAAUAAGCAUCGGCUAACUCCGUGCCAGCAGCCGCGGUAAUACGGGGGAUGCAAGCGUUAUCCGGAGUUAUUGGGUUUAAGGGGUGCGUAGGCUGUGAGGUAAGUCAGCGGGGAAAUGCCCCCGCUCAACGGGGUGAAGUGCCAUUGAUACUGCCUUGCUGGAAUGCGGAUGCCGUGGGAGGAAUGUGUGGUGUAGCGGUGAAAUGCAUAGAUAUCACACAGAACACCGAUUGCGAAGGCAUCUCACGAAUCCGCGAUUGACGCUGAUGCACGAAAGCGUGGGUAUCAAACAGGAUUAGAUACCCCGGUAGUC
rnacentral:rRNA from 1 species